AUUCCAUGAUGGGGACAUUCUAGGAUGUAGUCUUGGAAGCGGUCCCAUGCUUCUAGAACAGAUUCAUCAUUUUGUUGCUGAAAACUUGUAAUCUUCCCACAGAGAGC
rnacentral:snoRNA from 1 species